rfam:TPA: Bos taurus chromosome 11, whole genome shotgun sequence.
UCCAUGGUGGCUCAGACGGUAAAGUGUCUGCCUACAAUGCAGGAGACCCAGGUUUGAUUCCUGGGUCGGGAA